AGGAUCCUCCUCCCAUCACCACUGCUCCACCUUCACCUUAUCCCACAGGAUCACGCAGACACAGGGGGAAUGGAGCAAAGCUGGAGCCUCCUUUUCUGCAGAUUAAACACUUCCAGUUCUCUCAGCUGCUCCUCACCAGUCCUGUUUUCCAGACCCUUCACCAGCUUGAUCACCUUUGAUGUGCAGAAAGAGAGGAAGGGCUGGAACUAGAUGAUCCUUUUGGUCCCUUCCAACCCUGUCUGAUUCUAUGGCUCUACAUACCUGAAAACUGCAGUGGCCUGAAGAUUUUCUCCUCAUAACUGUUUUGACUGAACAGGGCAUUUUUUGGGGUGCCCUGCUCUUUUGGAGACUGCAAAGCACUGAUGGUUCCCAGCCUGGCUUCUCUGAAGGCUUUUAAUGCAAGGCUCAUUGUCUAUUGAGCCCUCAAGUUCCUCCUCCAUGGGGAUUUCAGGACUGGCAGCAGGAGAGGAGAGCUGCUGUGCUGCCUCUGGGCAGUGUUCCUGUCCUUCCCCCUCCAGUGGACCCUCAUUAGAGAGACUUGUAGGGUCACUGAGGAUGGGGAAGCAACUGAGAUGAUUUCUGAGGCCAGGUUUCCAAACAUGAGGGGUGUGAAAGAGUUUGUUAUUGCAUCAGCAUUUCCCUGGGGAAGAGCCUGAACUGCUGGCAGUGGGGCUGGGGCUUGCCAGCAUGAAGCAGGACCUGCUGGAGCUGGGCACAGGGCAGAUGGGCUCAGCUCCCCAUGAGACAGGGUUUGCUGAGCUCAGGCUGCUCUCCCAGCCAGCCUGGUGGGAAUGUGCAGGUACCAAUAUAGGCUGAGUGGGUGGUGAGAGGGGACCUCGUGUGCUGCAUAACUGGAGGGCUUUUGCAGCUCCAUCAGCUGAAGAGAUGAAUGAAGGAGCAGGAUGUUGUCACCUCCCAGCGCCCACUCGCUCCCUGGCACACCAACGGGAGUUGAAUUUCGUUCAAGCUUCCCUUGAGUCACUCCCAGUUGGGUUCAGAGGGUUCCUCUGGAGCUGAUGGUACCCUGUGCACCAGCACUGCAGCUUCUCCUGCCACUGCCCUGUGCCCCAGCCCGUGCCAGGCACCCUGGGACCCGCUGCGCCCCACCGGUGCUCCUGACACCCCAAUGGCACUGAUGACCAGAUCAAGGGAGUGAGGAUAGGGGUCGACAGACUGCUUUUGGGGUGGCCCCAGUUGUCACCAUCCCACCACCCAGCUCAGAUGAUCCAUGCUCAGCCUGCAGGAACAGCUGCAAAAAUAAACCUCAGCGAUGCCAUCUGUGCCUUCUCCUGGGCGUUCUGCGCCUGCACGGCGACCUCUUCCAGCAGGACUAAAAUGAGGGCUCUGUUCCUGGUUCCAGGAAAAGGUUGGUGCCUUCCAUCCCAGCACGACAGCUUCCUGGCACUCUGUCCCAGUGCAGGGAGCAGACAAACAGGAUUUGUCCUUCCAGGUGCUCUGGGCAAGCUCUGGUGGUGGAGUCUCCAUCUCUGCAGACAUCCAAAGCUCACCUGGAUAUGUUUCUGUGCGACCUCCUUUGAGUGAACCUGCAAAGAUUGGACUCGGUGAUCUCUAGGGCUCCCUUCCAACCCCUACCAUGCAAUGAGUGUGUGAUUUAACCCUUUCCUCACUGCAGGCUGGGCAGUGCCCAGAGCUGCUGCCACCCAUACUUAGGGAGCUGUUGUGCCAGAGCACUGGUGGCAGCAGCAGCGAGGUGGUUAAGCAGCUCUCCGGGCUGGUACCUCCUCCAUCCUGACUUUCAGCCCCGAUGGCUGACUCAUUAGCUAUUUAUUUAUUUAAAGCCACUGAGCUAUUUGCAAGACGUUUGCCCAGCACCCAGGCUGUGUGGGCAGGGAGCUGCUCUCUGCCUGCGUUCCUCUCGCUGACACUGAUGGGAACUCAGCAGAAUAAAUAAGGAAUCUUCCAAUCAAGACUCAGUUUGGGUUUUA